UGACAGGGCUGAUUAUGCCGAUCUAGCUGGCUUCUUUUCUUACAACUCUGUACAUGUCCCUCCCAAAACUGCUUGUUUGGCUGGAGAGAAUGACCUUCCAGAAGAACAGGGCCCACUGUUCUUUGGUCACAGGUAUAACAAAUCGCUGCAGUUCACAACUAGAACCUCCAACCCUUUUUGCAUUUAAGAAUGCAAAAGUCUU
rnacentral:sRNA from 1 species